rnacentral:rRNA from 1 species
UACGUAGGGUGCGAGCGUUAAUCGGAAUUACUGGGCGUAAAGCGUGCGCAGGCGGUUUUGUAAGCCAGAUGUGAAAGCCCCGGGCUUAACCUGGGAAUGGCAUUUGGGACUGCAAGGCUGGAGUGUGGCAGAGGAGACUGGAAUUCCUGGUGUAGCAGUGAAAUGCGUAGAUAUCAGGAGGAAUACCGAUGGCGAAGGCAGGUCCCUGGGCUAACACUGACGCUCAUGCACGAAAGCGUGGGGAGCAAACAGG